rnacentral:misc_RNA from 1 species
AAUUAAGAGUCAUACAAGUCAAAGCUUUCUCUCACAUAAUACUAAUUGACCUCGAACUCUGAACUUAGGUUCUAUUUUUAAGUUUGUGAGUGUAAAAAUGGUGCAACCCCAUGUCCUAUUGGUGACAUUUCCUGCACAAGGUCAUAUCAAUCCAUCUCUUCAAUUUGCCAAGAGGCUAAUCGAAAUGGGCAUUGAGGUGACAUUCACCACUAGUGUUUUCGCCCACCGUCGUAUGGCGAAAAUCGCGGCUUCCACGGCACCCAAGGGCUUAAACUUGGCGGCAUUCUCUGAUGGAUUUGAUGAUGGUUUCAAGUCUAACGUGGAUGAUUCUAAACGUUACAUGUCAGAGAUAAGAAGUCGUGGGUCCCAAACAUUGAGGGAUGUCAUUUUGAAGAGUUCAGACGAAGGACGUCCUGUCACGUCCCUCGUCUACACUCUUCUGCUACCUUGGGCAGCUGAGGUAGCGCGUGAACUCCAUAUCCCAUCCGCGUUACUAUGGAUUCAACCAGCAACUGUGCUAGACAUAUACUACUAUUACUUCAAUGGCUAUGAGGAUGAAAUGAAGUGUAGUAGCUCAAAUGAUCCAAAUUGGAGUAUCCAAUUGCCAAGGCUUCCAUUACUAAAAAGCCAAGAUCUUCCAUCUUUUUUAGUUUCAUCUAGCUCAAAAGAUGAUAAGUAUAGUUUUGCUCUACCAACAUUCAAAGAGCAACUAGACACAUUAGAUGGUGAAGAAAAUCCAAAGGUACUUGUGAAUACAUUUGAUGCAUUAGAGCUAGAGCCACUCAAAGCUAUUGAAAAAUACAAUUUAAUUGGAAUUGGACCAUUGAUUCCUUCAUCAUUCUUGGGUGGAAAAGAUUCAUUGGAAUCUUCAUUUGGUGGUGAUCUUUUUCAAAAGUCAAAUGAUGACUACAUGGAAUGGUUAAACACAAAGCCUAAAUCAUCAAUUGUUUAUAUCUCAUUUGGGAGUCUAUUGAAUUUAUCAAGAAACCAAAAGGAGGAGAUUGCAAAAGGGUUGAUAGAGAUCCAAAGGCCAUUCUUAUGGGUAAUAAGAGAUCAAGAAGAAGAAAAAGAAGAAGAGAAAUUAAGUUGCAUGAUGGAAUUAGAGAAGCAAGGGAAAAUAGUACCAUGGUGUUCACAACUUGAAGUCCUGACACAUCCAUCUUUAGGAUGUUUUGUCUCGCACUGUGGAUGGAAUUCGACUCUAGAAAGCCUAUCGUCAGGUGUACCUGUGGUGGCAUUUCCUCAUUGGACAGAUCAAGGGACUAAUGCAAAGUUGAUUGAAGAUGUUUGGAAGACAGGUGUCAGGAUGAGAGUGAAUGAAGAUGGUGUGGUUGAGAGUGAUGAAAUAAAAAGGUGCAUAGAAAUUGUAAUGGAUGGUGGAGAAAAAGGAGAAGAAAUGAGAAAAAAUGCACAAAAAUGGAAAGAAUUGGCAAUUAAGAAGGUUCUUCAAGAUAAACGUUACAAGAACAGAGAACUGCAGAUUAUGCAAAUGUUGGAUCAUCCUAAUAUUGUUGCUCUUAAACACUCUUUCUUCUCAACUACAGACAAGGAGGAAGUAUACCUCAACCUUGUCCUUGAAUUUGUUCCAGAAUCUGUCAAUCGUAUUGCGAGACAAUACAGCAGAAUGAACCAGAGGAUGCCAUUGAUAU